CCAUUCGAGGGCAAGUCUGGUGCCAGCAGCCGCGGUAAUUCCAGCUCCAAUAGCGUAUAUUAACGUUGUUGCAGUUAAAAAGCUCGUAGUUGAAGUGUGGGUGAUCGCUGUUGUGAGACUUCGGUCUCUCGACAGUAAGUCACCCCCUUCCAGUAUCCAGUAGUGGGUAUUCAGUUACUUACUACUGUGUGUUGGUCCUUUACUGUGAGAAAAUUAGAGUGUUCAAAGCAGGCGUUUGCUUGAAUAGAUUACAUGGAAUAAUAAUUGAAGGCUUUCGUGUUCGAUUUGAUUGGUUUGUUCAUGGAACCAAGGUUAAAAGGAACGUUGGGGGUAUUCAUAUUCACUACUUAGAGGUGAAAUUCUCCCAUUUAGGGAAGAUUAACGACUCCGAAAGC
rnacentral:rRNA from 1 species